rnacentral:lncRNA from 1 species
UUUAAUGAUAAUAUCUACAUCUUACAAAGACAUAAUGAUAUGACAACAUAUUAACAAAGGUUUUAUUUAAAUUAUAAAAUAAAGACCAAGAAGUGGAAGAAAAUAGUAUCUUUAUAGAAGAAUGUAUUGACAAUGCAUGUCAACUAAUAACAAGGGAACAAAAUAUAAAAUUCCAAAAACCAAUAGAUAUAAUAAAAAUU